CACAGAAAAAGGCAAACCUAUUGAAAAAUAGGGACGCAAAGUCACGGGUCUAAGGUAUUGUGCUACGAUGGCUGGGCUGCCUGA
rnacentral:ncRNA from 1 species